GCUGACACGGGGAUAGAGGGAGAACGUGCAGGAGGGAUAUUCAAUACAUUUUUUUUUUAAACCGAUUUAUGUAAGGAGGGAGCACACAGCGGGAGAAAGAACAUUCUUAACCUUGCAUGUACUCUGCCUGCAAGGUACAAAAGUAAUACGUCUGUCGCCAGCGAGCCGUGCACACUGACAACAGGUGUAAAAUAUACACAGAAUUGACAUUAAGCAGCCUGGUACCUGGCACGUAAGUGCAAAUACCUGUGAAUGUACAGCGUUUAAAGCAGAAACACCGCGCAUCCAGUCUCCUACCACCAUGACCACUUCAAAUCACGGACGCGGUCAUGGUGGUUGGAGAAGCCCUCUAAGAAACUGACUGGUUAUUUAAAUAAACAAGUUUCAUUGAUGUUUAAUUUGUAGGAUUAAUAAUACAUAUUUGCUUUCUCUUUGUUAUUGUCUCUGGGCAUGCAUUCUGAAGGGACGCUCUGCGCGCAGCAUUAGCUGAGGUACACGCUGUGGUUUGUGCAGGAGCCACGAACUCCACCACCGAUUUGCUGAAACUGCAGUUUGUAAUAAAUCCCUGUUGACGGAGAUCGUUAUAACAAGGAAUAUAGCCGUGGGCAGCGAGGAUAUACAGCCAAGGAUGCAGUUCACAUUUCCCACCAGCAGGAGGCAAUCCAAACCCUCAGACGAAACGGACAGUCCUGUGAAAUGUCGGCAGCUGAUAUCGUACCCAGAACUGGGAAAAUGUAAAGAUGGCUGAAAAACACGGUAAAUUAGAUUUUCUUGUUGGCUGUGAAGAACAUGGAAAUGAUUAGUGAUGCUCAGUUCGUAACAGAAUUCUGUAAAUGUUCUGAUUAUGGACACUGGAUAAAUAUUCAUAAAAAAAACAGCGUGUUUUAAUCUCGUCUCCGAGGCAGAGAACAGGGAGUCUUGAAAUGUCGAUAAACUCUUCCAGUUGUUCAGCCAUGAUAAACUCACAUUGUGGCUGUGGACUGAACGCUGCCCCUGGUGGACGAGGUGGUGCAUUUCAUUCCAGCCACUGGCGGGGAGCCGCUGUACUUAGUUGCACUGAAUUAUGUUUUAUUUUAGGCGAUGAUUUACCUUUGGCAAGGGGUGAGGAAUAGGAUUCUAAUGCUGGAUAAAGGAACUUCUCUCAAUGAAGUUGUUAUGGUGUCAGGAGUGUUUGAGAGCUUUCUCAUGUUCUUGGAGUAAACAGGUUUCCAGUGGUUUUACCCUGUACUUGGUUCAUCGGCACCCAACGGCAAUGCCUCCCGUCUCCUUCCUUUAUCAGCCUCAGUGAUCAGGAUGGUUUGCGGGAAGCUGGUGAUAGGCUGAGAGUGUCAGCAAUGUCUCAGCCAAUCGGUGGCCACCACACAAAUCUUCCUCGUACUGCGGCCCAGGGGGAAGGAAGAGAUGAGGCAGAGCUGCCUGGGUACUGCAGGACCAACUUUGGGUUUAUACUGAAAAUUGCUCACUUCCUGAGCAUUCUCAUGCACUCCUGCCACCAUAACAACUUAAUGAAGAGAGUGUCCCCUGAGAAUCUGCCCAUUCAUUUUAAUGAAGAAUUAAAGAGGGAUUGUUUCUUUCUUAACCAAACAAAUCUACCAGCAUGUUAUCCUUAUCCUCAUUUAAAUAAGUUUCAACGCAAUGGCCACUAAAGUGAAAAGUCACAUGCACCACGCAUGCACACAUGCUGCACUGAUCGAGAAAUGCAGAGAAAGCAUUUCUCCACCAGAUGCCAAGCAUGCAUGCAUGUGCCCAGGUCAUCAUAGGGUUAUAGGGUUGCAUUAAACACUAGUUGGGCUAACUGACAAUCUACCCAUUUACUCUGAGAAUCUACCCAUUCACCAUAAGAAUCUGUUCAUUCACCCCGAGAAUCUGCCAAUUACCCUACUGAGAAUUCUACUGAGAAUCUACCCAUUCAUUCUGACAACCUGCUCAUUCACUUUGACAAUCUGCUCAUUCACCCUGAUAAUCUGCGCAUUAACCCUGAUAAUCUGCCUAUUCAUUCUGAGAAUCUGCCCAUUCCCACUGAGAAUCUGACAAUCUACCCAUUUACCCCGAGAAUCCGUCCAUUCACUCUGAGAAUCUGAUAAUCUACCCAUUCAGCCUGAGAAUCUCCCCAUUCACUCUAAGAAUUUGCCCCAUUCACUCGAGAAUCUUCCCAUUUACUCUGAGAAUAUACCCAUUCAUUUUGAGAAUCUGCACAUUAACUUUGAGAAUAAACCCAUUUUCUGCCCAUUCACUCUAAGAAUAUACCCGUAAUUCUGAGAAUCUACCCAUUUUCUCUGAGAAUCUGCCCCAUUCACCCUGAGAAUCUGCCCCAUUCAACCUGAGAAUCUACCCCCUUCACCCUGAGAAUCUGAAAAUUCACCCUGAGAAUCUGCCUAUUUGUCAUUUGUCUGUCACCCUAUUUUUUGCAGAUCCCUUCCUGCGUCUCUGAUCAGAGCUGGUGAUGGCCAGGAUAUUAGUGUGAGCUGUUUUCUCAUCGAUCUUCUCUGUGUGGCUGUAUGAAACCCUGCCUGCCGCAAGCGAUGGAAUGAAAAGUUAAAUCCCACUUCUAACCGCCGAGCUUUCUGGAGCAGUUUAUCUCCUAUCAGGGAGGAGAGAUGGAGCUAUCGGAGUCAGUUAAACGCCACGAGGAGGAAAUUAGUUUUUAUUUUCUGUCACCUCUCCAGAGUAAUGGGAUUUGGAGCGAAGAUGGAGAAAAGUGUGGAGUGCGUUAAAUAUACUCUAUCCACCCGUUACUGUCAGUUAAAUAAAUGAGAACAUUUCAUAAAACUAAAGCCUUUUUUAUUAUUCAAAGUUUCAGC
rnacentral:lncRNA from 1 species